rnacentral:misc_RNA from 1 species
AGACAAUAUUCGAAGGAUGUAGUUUGCAAAUAUUUUAAUUUUCCCAAAUUCUAAGCCCUUACCGAUUUUGGUUCGCUCGCCGUCGUACAAAACCAGCCUUUCCACCUCCGUCGUCCGCCGUUCUCCGCCACCACCCUCACCGCUCGUUCGACGGCGCGUGACAGUUAUUAUUAGCCUGCUUCGGAAAUUGAUAACUUCUGUUCAACAGCUGAGCUAAAAUUUUGAUUUUGAUUGAAAUGUUUAGUCCUGGAUAAGAAAAUUUUAAUUUUGUCCGGUAGAGGUAUAAUCUUUCCUUCUUUCUUUUUU